rnacentral:tRNA from 1 species
GCCGAAGUGGCGGAAUUGGUAGACGCACUGGUUUCAGGUACCAGCGGAGCAAUCCAUGGGGGUUCGAGUCCCUUCUUCGGUA